rnacentral:rRNA from 1 species
GACGUAGGUGGCGAACGUUAUCCGGAAUUAUUGGGCGUAAAGGGUGCGUAGGUGGCCUGACAAGUUAUUAGUGGUAAAUCGAGGCUCAACCUCGUGGAAACUGGUAAUACUGUCCGGCUCGAGUACAGGAGAGGUUAACGGAACUCUAUGUGGAGCGGUAAAAUGCACAGAUAUAUAGAAGAACAUCAAUAACGGCGAAGGCAGUUAACUAUUCUGUUACUGACACUGAGGCACGAAAGCGUGGGGAGCAAAACGG